UGACUUGUUGGAAAUAUCUUUAAUGUUAGUAUAGUGGUUACAUAAACAAUUAGGCAUAUUAUAUUUCUCUGUUCCAGCUUAAGUACCUUGACAAGUUUAUAAUUUUCACUUGAUAUUCAGUGGUGGAUCCAGAACUUUUCCUAAGGGGGGCCCCGCUGACUGACCUAAGUGGGGGCCCGCUCCAGUCAUACUUCAAUGAUUCCCUAUAUAAUCAACCAAAUUUUUCCCAUGAAAGGGCGGGCUCGGGCCCCCUGGAUCCGCCUAUGCUAUUUGAUUUAUUUUUGUUCGGUUAUGAUUAUAAGAUUUAUUUGGGAUGGGUGGGGGUUUAAUAAUGGUCAAAUAAAAUGACUGCCACAGCCAUUAUAAACUAUUCUUAAUCAAGCAGAUAAAAUAUAGGGAACGCUUUUACAUUAUACUCACCAAGUUUUCUUACUCCAAUUGUAAUUCUAUUGUGGCCAUCCACAGUGAAUUUGGUUUUACUUACCAUAUAAAUGAAGAAGGAUUUGGGGUGAUUUCACUCUUUAUCUAAAAAAAUUGUCUUUAUUUAACAGAUACUAUCAAGGAUCUGCCAUCAAUACAGAAAAUUCACAAAAUGACAAAAAAAAAAAAAAGAACCACUAAUAAGGAACAUGUAUUGUUGCAGAGUUAAGGAGUUGUUUUUGAAUCUCGUCCCUAGAGCAUGAUGGGGAAAUAUAAAGAAAUGUUUUUUGGGACUACUGAAACAUCUUAAAAGACCUAAAUUGAUUUGGAAUUUAUAUUUUGGUCCCAAUCAAGUCAACAAUACUUGCAUAUGAUAUACACUUAAUGUAUUGCCAAGGAUACAGAUAUAAAUAACUUACAAAACCGCACCCAGACAUAAGUAAAAUUUGACAAAAUUGCAAAAGUCUUUUUUUUAUGCCCCACCUACGAUAGUAGAGGGGCAUUAUGUUUUCUGGUCUGUGGCUCCGUUCGUUCGUUCGUCCGUCCGUCCGUUCGUUCGUUCAUCCGCAGGUUAAAGUUUUUGGUCAAGGUAGUUUUUGAUGAAGCUGAAGUCCAAUCAACUAGAAACUUAGUACACUUGUUGCUUAUGAUAUGAUCUUUCUAAUUUUAAAGCCAAAUUAGACUUUUGACCCCAAUUUCACGGUCAACUGAACAUAGAAAAUGAAAAUGGGAGUUUCAGGUUAAAGUUUUUGGUCAAGGUAGUUUUUGAUGAAGCUGAAGUCCAAUCAACUUGAAACUUAGUACACUUGCUGCUUAUGAUAGGAUCUUUCUAAUUUUAAAGCCAAAUUAGACUUUUGACCCAAUUUCACGGUCCAUGGAACAUGGAAAAUGAUAGUGCCAGUGGGGCAUCCAUGUACUUUGGACACAUUCUUGUUU
rnacentral:lncRNA from 1 species